rnacentral:lncRNA from 1 species
UGUUACUUUUCAAAAUUUUUGUGCGAUGAAUCAAGAAUUUGAAGGUUUGUAUACAUUUAAUUAUAAAUAUACAUGGCAGGUAUUUUAAAAUGAUAAUUUAUUUUAGCCGGUACAAGUCAUGAUUACACAUAUGAAGACUUAUUUAAUUUUUUGCGUAAAUUUAAACGCACAAAAUAUUACUUCUAGAACAAUUUUACUGGAUAUUAUUAAAAUUAAGUAUGAAGGUGAUAAAUGAGAUGGAGAAUACGAGAAAAUUGUUAAAGAUAAAGUAUUAAGUUUUUCUGUAGUUUUAUAAAAAAAAAAAAAAAUGGGCUACAAGUUAAUAGAAAUGUAAAUAAAUUCAUUGAAAAUAUUCUAAUUGACUUCAAAUAAAGGUACCUCCUCUACAUCGCCCUUAUGGGCUCCUAUAAAAAGAUCAUACCAAUUACACAAUGAAUGCAACAUUUGAGUUUAGAGGUCCUAUAAACAUGUAAAUUGAUGUAAAAUAUAAUUGUUCUAAAAAUACCCUCUAAUACCCCCUCAAUUAGGGUCCAAAUUAAAACAGUGAUGCGAAAUUUGGAUUCAGCAUCCUUAAAAAUGAUUGAUUUGAAUGUCUCGCACAAUCUUAUGUAAUAUACUUUUAGAGUAAUUUAUUUAUGUACGCUAGAAAUGGAUUUCAUGCCACUGCGAGUAGGUGGUAAAUACGGAGGGCAAUCGAUAAAAAAAACCAAGGAAAAGAGAACAAAAUUGUUUUGAGCGAUUCGUCUAUAUGUAUCUGCCGUUCGCGUAAGUCGCAUCAAAGUAUGUUACUAUAAUAAAUCAAUAGCAUCAUUACACGCGCGUUAUACUUUGCAAACAAUCCAUGUCGCCAUUUACGUCAGUUAUAGAUAAGCUAUAAUGGGUAUAUCAUUUGUUAGUGUGCACAAAAAGUUCAGUCACGUCUAUAUUAAACAUUUUCUAAACCCAACUCUUGAGUUUUCCCACGUAUAAUAUGAUUGUAUUUUCCGAGUCGUCCGUUAAAAACAACCUGUAACUGUUAUUAAUAUGAUCACUUAACCACAAAUCACACUCAAUUAAAACAAAAUAAAAACAUUAGGUACAGAUACCGAGUGUAAAGAUAUAAAUUGAAUAAUUAUUAUGUACCCUACCUUCCCAACUCCCCACUUACAACAGUGGCACACCCGUUAGCUGAUAUUAACCGGUUUUUGUUCUUUGACAUUUUUUCUUUUGGUUUUUUUUUUUUUCCUAAUUUAACCUCAAGGUUAACCUAAGUUAACCUUUAUUGCUGGGUUUUGCUGUAAUAUUAUACAAAAACGUUUAUAACAGUGACGGUCGAGUAUUAUUAUACCUAAUCGCAUAAUGUUCGGUUUUUUUUAAAUGUAUUUUCCGAAAAUCCAGGGAGCAGCAAAUGCGCUCUUUCUUGUCCCCAUCUGAACGCCUAUAUUAUACGGCUACUGUCAAAAUUAUAUUUUUCGACUUAUACAGAAUAUUGCACCCAUAAUUGGCUAUGUACAAGGUCCCAAUAAACAAAAAACCAAAUUAUAUUUGAAUUGUUUCUGUGGCGAUAUAUUUCUGUACCAAUUAGAGCAAUAAUAUACAACAUGAAAUACGAAGAUCACCCGAAUUCAGUUAUUUUCUAUUCAAUAUUUUUAUCAAUAUUAGUAUGCCUCUGCAUCACAGUUAAAUGACAAGGAUAAAACAUCCAACAAACAUCCUUGUCAUUUGGUAUGUUCUGCAGACUAGGUACUGAUUAAACAUUGUAACAAACUAAGCAAAAUAAUAUUCAUAUCUUCGGUAAGUUCAACAAAUUGUAAAAAACAAAUGACCAAACCUAAAUAAAAGUUUUAACCGCCAACAUUUUUGUUUUUUUUUUUUAAGUAUGGAUAGUAAUAUUUCUAAAUCUUACACUUCUCCCAACAAAAAAAAACCUAAUCAUAUUAGUAAAAUAUAGGCAUACUAAUUAUUUAAACAAAAUAAUUUAGUAAAAAUAUUGAAUAAAGAAAAAAUUACUUCAGGUGUCACAUGAUCUUUGCGUUACACCCUGUAUCAAUAUCUACCUGUAUACCGUAACUAUUUUUAUUUUAUUUAUCCAAAUGGUAACACCAAACGUGGCCUAUAUUACAAGGUAUUAUUUAAUUGUUUUGCGCUCCUUAAACACAAAUCUAUUUUGACAAUCUUAUUCUAGUUAAUAUGUUAUAGUAUAAUAUUCUAGUUUGAAACAUAAUGCAUCAAUUAUCGGUGAUAACAUUUUCGAAAAACAUAAUAAAAUUUAUUUUUUAUCAUGACGUUAUCCGAAAAAUAAAAUUAGAUUUCUUAAACGUUCUUUGGGCUUAAGUGUUUACGUAAAGUAUUUAGAUUCUGUAAAUGCAGCCCAAUUGGAGUAAAAUGUUUGCUCUAAAAAUCCUCCAUUAUGACUGACCCAAUAUCAUACACUUUUACAUCAAGACAUAAAAUAUAGUCUUUUUAAGUAUAAAUAAAAACUGGUUAACUGAUUAGCACCUUUUUUUUUUUUUUUUUUUUUCUAAAAAAAAAACCAUCUUUUAAUACAGUAGAAAAAUUCAAUAUCGAAAAAUAACAAAACGUGUGUAUAAAAAAAUGUAGGUGUUAACAAAUUUCCUGUGCUGUUUAUUGUACACUUAAAUCUUAAAAAACAAAACAAAAUACAUAGAUUUUGAUGGUUUUAUGGACAAAAAUUAAAAUAUUUAAACUGUUGGUCAUCAGAUAGCCUUAUUUUCAGCCAUAAACUCAUUAAUGUGUACGUCAUUAACUUACAUAUAAAAUAAUACAUCUGUGAUUAGUAGUAAUUAUUCAUGACUAGAAACCGAUAAAAGUUUAACUAAAUUUCCUUU